GACGAACGCUGGCGGCAUGCUUAACACAUGCAAGUCGAACGGAAAGGCCUGCUUUCCCUUGUGGAUUGCGGGUACUCGAGUGGCGAACGGGUGAGUAACACGUGAGUGAUCUGCCCCCAACUUGGGUAUAAGCCUGGGAAACUGGGUCUAAUUCCCGAUAGGACUGCAGGGUGGUGCCUGUGGUGAAAAACGAUUUUCUAGUGGUUGGGGAUGAGCUCGCGGCCUAUCAGCUUGUUGGUGGGGUAAUGGCCUACCAAGGCGGCGACGGGUAGCCGGCCUGGGAGGGUGGACGGCCACAUUGGGACUGGGAUACGGCCCAGACUCCUACGGGAGGCAGCAGUGGGGAAUAUUGCACAAUGGGCGGAAGCCUGAUGCAGCGACGCCGCGUGGGGGAUGACGGCCUUCGGGUUGUAAACUCCUUUCGACCGCGAGGAAGCCACCUGGUUGGAAGGGUGGUGACGGUAGUGGUAGAAGAAGCACCGGCUAACUACGUG
rnacentral:rRNA from 1 species